rnacentral:rRNA from 1 species
GGCGGUAAUGCCAGAAGUCGUUUCGAUAUACGAUUUUAUCCAGUUCCUAUUUUAUUUAUUAUCCCUGAUCCGGAAGUCACCUUUUCUUUUCCUUGGACAGUACCUCCUAACAAGAUUGAUCUGUUUGGAUCUUGGUCCAUGAUGGCCUUUUUAUUGAUUUUGACGAUUGGAUCUCUCUAUGAAUGGAAAAGGGGUGCUUCGGAUCGGGAGUAA